CUACGUGCCAGCAGCCGCGGUAAUACGUAGGGUGCAAGCGUUAAUCGGAAUUACUGGGCGUAAAGAGUGCGCAGGCGGUUUUGCAAGACCGAUGUGAAAUCCCCGGGCUUAACCUGGGAACUGCAUUGGUGACUGCAAGGCUAGAGUGUGUCAGAGGGAGGUGGAAUUCCGCAUGUAGCAGUGAAAUGCGUAGAUAUGCGGAGGAACACCGAUGGCGAAGGCAGCCUCCUGGGAUAACACUGACGCUCAUGCACGAAAGCGUGGGGAGCAAACAGGAUUAGAUACCCUGGUAGUCCACGCCCUAAACGAUGUCUACUAGUUGUCGGGGAUUAAUUUCCUUGGUAACGCAGCUAACGCGUGAAGUAGACCGCCUGGGGAGUACGGUCGCAAGAUUAAAACUCAAAGGAAUUGACGGGGACCCGCACAAGCGGUGGAUGAUGUAGAUUAAUUCGAUGCAACGCGAAAAACCUUACCUACGCUUGACAU
rnacentral:rRNA from 1 species